rnacentral:rRNA from 1 species
UACGAGGGGGGGCAAGCGUUGUUCGGAAUUAUUGGGCGUAAAGGGCGCGUAGGCGGUGCGGUAAGUCACCUGUGAAAACUCUGGGCUCAACUCAGAGCCUGCAGGCGAAACUGCCGUGCUUGAGUCCGGAAGAGGCGAGUGGAAUUCCUGGUGUAGCGGUGAAAUGCGCAGAUAUCAGGAGGAACACCAAUAGCGAAGGCAGCUCGCUGGGACGUUACUGACACUGAGGCGCGAAAGCGUGGGGAGCGAACAGG